UUGGGUGACAAGGCGAGGGGGGUACACCCGUUCCCAUACCGAACACGGUAGUUAAGUCCCUCAGCACCGACGAUACUGCACGGGCGACUGUGUGGGAAAAUAGGCCGUUGCCCAAG
rnacentral:rRNA from 1 species